rnacentral:rRNA from 1 species
GGCGCACGGUGGAUGCCUUGGCACUAGAAGCCGAUGAAGGACGUUACUAACGACGAUAUGCUUUGGGAAGCUGUAAGUAAGCUUUGAUCCAGAGAUUUCCGAAUGGGGAAACCCAGCAUGAGUUAUGUCAUGUUAUCGAUAUGUGAAUACAUAGCAUAUCAGAAGGCACACCCGGAGAACUGAAACAUCUUAGUACCCGGAGGAAGAGAAAGAAAAUUCGAUUCCCUUAGUAGCGGCGAGCGAAACGGGAAGAGCCCAAACCAACAAGCUUGCUUGUUGGGGUUGUAGGACACUCUAUACGGAGUUACAAAGGACGACAUUAGACGAAUCAUCUGGAAAGAUGAAUCAAAGAAGGUAAUAAUCCUGUAGUCGAAAAUGUUGUCUCUCUUGAGUGGAUCCUGAGUACGACGGAGCACGUGAAAUUCCGUCGGAAUCUGGGAGGACCAUCUCCUAAGGCUAAAUACUCUCUAGUGACCGAUAGUGAACCAGUACCGUGAGGGAAAGGUGAAAAGCACCCCGGAAGGGGAGUGAAAUAGAACCUGAAACCGUGUGCUUACAAGUAGUCAGAGCCCGUUAAUGGGUGAUGGCGUGCCUUUUGUAGAAUGAACCGGCGAGUUACGAUUUGAUGCAA